rnacentral:rRNA from 1 species
UACAGAGGUCUUAAGCGUUGUUCGGAUUCAUUGGGCGUAAAGGGUGCGUAGGCGGCGGGGCAAGUCAGGUGUGAAAUCCCGGAGCUUAACUCCGGAACUGCACUUGAUACUGCCUUGCUUGAGGACUGGAGAGGAGAUCGGAAUUCACGGUGUAGCAGUGAAAUGCGUAGAUAUCGUGAGGAAGGCCAGUGGCGAAGGCGGAUCUCUGGACAGUUCCUGACGCUGAGGCACGAAGGCCAGGGGAGCAAACGGG